GUGCGCACCAAAUGCGCUCGGUUUGCGCAUUCCGGACACGACCUGGUUGAGCUCGAGCCGAUCCUAUUCCUUCAAUCUAUGAGACCAAUAUUAACACACAUGUGCAAACGUAAACACACAUGUACAAACAUCUAAGCUCCGUCGACGAACAACUGGAUUCCGUGCAGAAAUGCAUACAAAGUACACAAACACCCAGGAACUCCAUUGGCUCCACUCGCCUAGUUCACACUCUGAAGGACGCUGACCUGAGGGACGGGGGGAUCAAGAAUGAAAGUGACAUCAGCUGAGGAAAGAGCCAAAAGAAUCGUGCACCUGUUGAUGACUCGAGGGAGAGCGAUGACCAGAGAGAAUGGGACAUGCCAAGUCUCUGGAUCUCUCAGAACACAACCUUUCCAGCACUGAGUAACUCAAGACCUGUGCCAGAGACUCUUUCAUAACCCAGCACUCCCACGACUCUGUGCAACCUGCCAAAAGCCCACCUCAGCUCAUCCAUAUCUGCUCUCACACAGCACGCAAAAAGGAGACAAGAUCGGGCUGUUAACGUACUGAGAAAACUCAUGGUAGAACUCUUCCUAAGGCUCUUUUUAUGAUCUUACAUCACAAACAUUCAUUUCGUCAGGCAACAUGUUGCACCUGUGUGUUUUCAAAGUUCCCUGUACCUGCUCCCUCAUCCGUUUAACUGAGAGCCUUUCCUCACCAUCAGACACAUUCAGCUGAGUCCAAUGAAACUAAGCCCGGCUCAUCAAAUAGUCAGGAGAUUAAAUUGCUCUCCUUUGUAAGUCCUAAGUUUGAUCCAUCAAUUAUUCAAGCCCUGAAAGGGAGCCCCCACACUGGGAAUUUAUUGAACUCAAGAAGGUGCCACAACUCUGAGCUCAGAGGAAAACCUGUCGAUGAACUUUGAGCCUCUGACUGAACCCUAAGGCUUUUUGGCACUCAUAUAAGAGCCGAAAACAAAGAUCAUUAGAAUGCCUCAAACACACACACACACACACACACUGAGAGGUUUAUGAGAGGACAUAAACAGUGGCAUGUACUCAACAAGUCAACCAAACAGAAGGCAAAUAAAAGAUAAACAGGCCAACUCUUAA